GUUUCGGUAGCCUAGUGGUCUUGGUCGCGGACUCACGUUCGGUAAGUCGUAGGUUUGAUCCCUGAUAACACUUGAGACU